rnacentral:rRNA from 1 species
CUUUAAUAAAGAGUUUGAUCCUGGCUCAGGACGAACGCUGGCGGCACGCUUAACACAUGCAAGUCGAACGGAGAUAUUUUAAGUUUACUUAGGAUAU